rnacentral:lncRNA from 1 species
UAUUUUUAUUGGUUCGUGUACUCAUAUUUCCUUUUUGGUCUUUGCCUACGUACAUGUUCAGACCUUCUUCUCGAUUUGGCUUUCCCUUUUCUUUUUUUGUGUGAGUGAGAGAGAGUUUAAGUAUAUAUGAACAUUUUAGUAAUACUUACAAACAUAAAUUAUGAAUGCGCUCUAACCAACUCUUCAAACCUUCUUCUUGAUUUGGUUUUCCCUUUUCUUUUUUUGUGUGUGUGACAGAGAGUCUCAGU